UGCAAGUCGAACGGCAGCAUGAUCUAGCUUGCUAGAUUGAUGGCGNAGUGGCGAACGGGUGAGUAAUACAUCGGAACGUGCCCUGUAGUGGGGGAUAACUAGUCGAAAGAUUAGCUAAUACCGCAUACGACCUGAGGGUGAAAGUGGGGGACCGCAAGGCCUCAUGCUAUAGGAGCGGCCGAUGUCUGAUUAGCUAGUUGGUGGGGUAAAGGCCCACCAAGGCGACGAUCAGUAGCUGGUCUGAGAGGACGAUCAGCCACACUGGGACUGAGACACGGCCCAGACUCCUACGGGAGGCAGCAGUGGGGAAUUUUGGACAAUGGGCGAAAGCCUGAUCCAGCAAUGCCGCGUGUGUGAAGAAGGCCUUCGGGUUGUAAAGCACUUUUGUCCGGAAAGAAAUGGCUCUGGUUAAUACCUGGGGUCGAUGACGGUACCGGAAGAAUAAGGACCGGCUAACUACGUGCCAGCAGCCGCGGUAAUACGUAGGGUCCAAGCGUUAAUCGGAAUUACUGGGCGUAAAGCGUGCGCAGGCGGUUGUGCAAGACCGAUG
rnacentral:rRNA from 1 species